CCCUGGUUGAUCCUGCCAGUAGUCAUAUGCUUGUCUCAAAGAUUAAGCCAUGCAUGUGUAAGUAAAGCCCAACCAAAAAGGAGAUCGCGGCCGGCCGGUUGAAGGGCCGGCCGCGAUCUCCUUGGUGAAUCAGAAUAACUUUGGCCGAGCGCACGACCCCUCCCGCAACCCGGGUUGGGUCGGCGCCGCGUCCUGCAGGCGUCUGCCUUAUCAGCUCUCGAUUGUAGGUUAAACGCCUACAAUGGCUAUCACGGGUAACGGGGAAUCAGGGUUCGAUUCCGGAGAGGGAGCCUGAGAAACGGCUACCACAUCUAAGGAAGGCAGCAGGCGCGCAAAUUACCCACUCCCGGCACGGGGAGGUAGUGACGAAAAAUACUGUUGCGAGCCCCGAACGGGGCCUCGCAAUUGGAAUGAGUACACUUUAAAUCCUUGUACGAGGAUCGAGUGGAGGGCAAGUCUGGUGCCAGCCGCCGCGGUAAUUCCAGCUCCACUAGCGUAUAUUAAAGUUGUUGCGGUUGAAACGCUCGUAGUUUGACUUCUGCUCCGGACCGGCGGUCCGCCUUAGCGGCGGCUACUGCCGGGUUCCGAGCUGUGUCCCCGCCGGCGCGCACGGGGUUUUUUAUGCCCUUAACCGGGUGUCCCCCUGUGGCCGGCACGUUUACUUUGAAAAAAUUAGAGUGCUCAGAGCAGGCUGGUCUUUGCUUACAGCCCGAAUGGUCGUGCAUGGAAUGAUGGAACAGGACCUCGGUUCUAUUUUGUCGGUUUUUCGGAACCCGAGGUAAUGAUUAAUAGAAGCAGACGGGGGCAUUCGUACUGCGACGCUAGAGGUGAAAUUCUUAGACCGUCGCAUGACGACCUACUGCGAAAGCAUCUGCCAAGGAUGUUUUCAUUGAUCAAGAACGAAAGUUAGAGGUUCGAAGGCGAUCAGAUACCGCCCUAGUUCUAACCUUAAACGAUGCUGACUAGCGAUCCGCCGCAGUUAUUCCCAUGACCCGGCGGGUAGCUUCCGGGAAACCAAAGUCUUUGAGUUCCGGGGGAAGUAUGGUUGCAAAGCUGAAACUUAAAGGAAUUGACGGAAGGGCACCACCAGGAGUGGAGCCUGCGGCUCAAUUUGACUCAACACGGGGAAACUCACCAGGCCAGGACACCGGAAGGAUUGACAGAAUGAGGCUUCUUUCUGUCAAUCCUUCCGGUGUCCUGGCCUGGUGAGUUUCCCCGGAAGGAUUGACAGAAUGAAGGCUCUUUCUCGAUUCGGUGGGUGGUGGUGCAUGGCCGUUCUUAGUUGGUGGAGUGAUCUGUCUGGUUAAUUCCGAUAACGAACGAGACUCUAGCCUGCUAAAUAGUCGACGGGUCUCUCGCCCAGCCUUCGCCCUCGGGCGUGGGCUCGGGUCCCCCAAACCCGGCCGUCGCGCGGGCCUCCGCCGUCGGUUGGUUAGCGCCGCCGGCGGCGCGCCCCGCGGCGCCGGAAACAUCGCGUGCGGCGCAACGGAUCGGCGAGUUUACUAAACCGAGUUUAGACGCGAGCCCGGCGAGAGCCAAGGGAGGCGGACUGUGCCCAUGCAAGGGGAAGUCACGCGGCUGUUUCUGACGGUCGA
rnacentral:rRNA from 1 species